CCCGGAAGGAUGACACUUCCCCGCAGUCCUGGUGACCGCGUGCUUUGCUGCGGACAAGAGACUGUGAAGAUGCCCUGUGUUCCCUUUGGGGCGGAGCUCGAAGAGCCAGGCUAUGGUGCUCCCUUAUCCUCUGCCACCCACCGCGGGAAGAGAGAGUCCUCGCUGCCUGCCGGGGGGGGGGGGGGGGGGGGGGGGGAGCAGGGGCCACGCCCACGCGUGCUGGGGGGGGGGGGGGGGGGGGGAACCAGCCGCUGCUAUUGCUCUGCCGUGCUGGGGCGCAGGACUGCUGGGGCUGCGAUAUAAUCCAGCCCCCGCUGACCGUGUCCAUGUGCGCGAGGGGACGUAGGGGUGAGCGGGCGAGACAGUGUGCGUGUGCGUGAAACAUCUGUUGCCCCGGCGGUCGGGGUGUUGGGGGUGUUUGUUACAGCCACCUGACCCAGCGCACGCCGGCUGAUGCAAGGACCGAGUGUCCUCGUGGCUGCAGGGACGGGGGAGAAUUAAGGCGCGCGUGAGAGUGUGUGUGAGGAUGCCCGCGAGAGGGAGACGUUGGGAGGGAGGAAGUGAGGCCACUGUGAGGGACACCACCCCCCUCCCUCCGCCCCCCACCGCCGUGUGCCUGCUCUGUCCCCGGGGCCCCAGGUCAGGCAGGGGUCAAGAUCGGCACCCUGCCACACGGGGACUAGCCGCACCUGCACUCCUUCCUCUUUACCUCGGAAACUUGUCUUGAAUCUCUCAGCUCCUUCUCCCUGUCCUGCUGCCUCGUCCCUCCCUCCAGCCACCCUCGUCUCCAUCUGGAGGGUACAGCUGCCUUCCUGUCUGGCUGCCCCCCACCCAGGCUUUUCUCCACACAGCCAUCUUUCCAAACCCAAAUUGGACCCUGUCACUCCUUUGUUUCAAAGCCUUCAGUGGUUCCCUGUGGCCCCAUUACCCCCUCCUUCCCAUGGCUAGCACCCUCAGCCUAUGUCCCGUUCAACCUGUCAGGAGGCUUACACCUCCUCUCCCCUCGGGCCCUUUGCACAUGCUGUUCCCUCCUCCCAGAAUGCUUGUCUCUUAUGCUCUUUCCCUAGUUCACCUCUCAGCCGCCGCCUCCUCAGGGAAGCCCUCCCUGAUACACACUCUCGUCCCUCCACAUGUCUCGCUUUUGAAGCACCGUAUGCUCACGUCAUGAACUUCGUCUCUCCCGGGAGUCUGUGGGCUCCUGGUUGGGCCAGGGCCUGCCCCGCCUGGCCACUGCCACCGCCACUGCCUGGCACACGCCUUGUGAGCCGGGGCAGGUCACUUACCUCUUUGAGACUCAGUUUCCUCAUCGGUAACAUGAAUACGAGGUUCACAGGCCGCUGGGAUGGAUACCUGCCUGCCCACCACCCAUCCUCUCUUCCGGGAUCUGCACACUGAUUCUUCCUCGGGGACCAUCCUCCCGCCUCCUGCAGUCGGUGAAGUUUGAGAGAGAACCCUUCCCCCAGCUGUCUCAAGGGCACAGGACCCAGGCGUGGCCAAUCAAAGAACGCCACCCCCUGGUCUUAUGAUUGGUUCAGGAACGUGCAUGUAACCCAAGUGCAAUCAGUGAUAAUGAGCUCUGGAACUUGUGCUUGAGCUGUUGGGAAAGAGUUAUUUUGGUCUGUUCAUGGGGUUAUUUGUGUUUGUGUGUUUGGGGGUGGGAGUGAGGGAGUUUCUGCUACGGUUCUGAGAGAAUAAGAUAGCUCUGGAACUGCCCAGAGUCCUUCAAAUAGAGCCUGCUUGAAGACGAAAGCAGAGUCAGGAGAAGCCAAGUCCUAAUGACAUUAUUUGAGCACCUGGAUCCAGCUAUGCCUGAAGGCGGAAUUGAGCUUUUUGGUGCCUAGCACAUAAUAAGUAUGAUACAAAUAGUGGCUGUUAUUAGCAGCAUAGAGUCUGGUAGACAGUAGGUGCUUGGCAAUGUUAGUUCCUUUCUCCUUUCACUCCCAUGCCCCUGAAAACAUUGUAGAAUUACUGCCAUCCCUCUUUCUGCCGAUUACAAAUGCUUCACAGUGCAUCGUGGGGCCCCGUUCAGGGCAUGAGCAAAAUGUGUUAAUGACGGAACGUCUGUCAGAGCAUUUUCCCAUCAAGCUGUUCUUCUUCCCCCACUGAAGACACUCAGGGGACAAGACAGAUGCUGAAAAUAAUGAGGCCCAGAGCUGCCAUGAUCUCUGCCUGGCAAAUUCACAGCUUCCAGACAUUCAGGCCCUGGGACAGCCUCGGGGUGGGGAGAAGGGGGAUAGGGAACCUCAGAGGUAUUCGGGUGCUGACACGUCUCCAUCGCGCCAACAGUGGGUGCUAGGGACCGAGAGCUGAGGGCACGCCCCAAUCUGCGGGGGUAGUCGGGCUAUGAGUGCAUUUAGUGUAUGCCUGCUGGAUGCUCGGAUGCUGGGGGUACCGU
rnacentral:lncRNA from 1 species